AAAAUUGCGUAAUGCGGGCCGAUGGCGCCAAAUAGUAUUCAGUAGAAAGGCCAACUUUAAAGGCAUCUCUCCGUCUCCUCCUCCUCCUCUCUCUCUCUCUCUCUCCCUCUCUCUCUCUCUCUCUCUCUCUCUCUCAGUUUCAUGAAAGCUUGAUACUUGAUAGUUCUUCCGUGUCGUUGUUCCCCGUGAAGAGUUCUUGGUUCCUCCGCCGAGCGUCCCGCCGUCUUCCUCCACAGGUGCCUGCUCCUCUCUCUCUCUCUGAGUUUCGAGAAACCUUGACCAUGCGUUUGGGAGUAUGGAAUUCGGAUCUUGCCUAAUUUGUGCUCCUAACCACUACCUGAGAGGUUCAGCGGUUGUACCAACCUCCACACAAAUGUCACAUGAGACACAGAGGGAAUACUUUUUGAAAAAGAAAAGGAGAGCCGCUGAAAAUAUAUUGAUCAUGUAAUACUUUUUUUUUUUGAAAGAAAAGAUUCAUGAUUUGAUAGAACAUUGCUUACUAUUUUAUACAAAUAAAAAUGAGACUGCCAAGAUCCUUUCAGAUGAAGCAAGCACAUGACCUCGCUUUACAACUGCAGGGUUCAGCAGGAGUACCAAUCUCCGUGCAAAUAUCACAUGAGACACGAAGUAAAUCCUUUUCAAGCAAGAAAAGGAGAGUUACAGAAGACUAUGUUGAUUAUAUUCAGAUGCAGAUAGAACUAUGCUUGCAGAAUUGUAUGAAUAGAAACCAGACCAUUGAGAUCCUAUCAGACCAAGCAGAAAUAAUUCCUGCCCAUACAACUGCAAUUUGGAAGGUGCUGGAGGAAGAAAAUGCUGAAUUUUUCGAGGCCUACUACUUGAAGUUAAUUGUGAAGAAGCAAAUUGGUGUGUUCAAUCAAUUACUUGCCAGACAUUGCUCACAGAAGCAGUCACAGAAUCUUCAAUUGUAUCAUAUGCAGAAUGCUGUUUAUCCUUUGUUUGAUUGGGAGCAACUGGAAAAAGAUAAUGCUGAACUUUUCGAGGUCUACAAGCUGAAGUUAAUGUUGAUGGUGCAAAUUUGUACAUUCAAUGAAUUACUUGAGAACCAUCGCAACCUGAUGAACUCACAAAAUGUUCCAUUGGAUCAUACAAAGAAUACCUUUGAUCCUGCGGAUAUUUGGGAUAGAUUGAAAGAAAAAUAUGCCAAAUUUCGCAAGGACACUAAGAUGUUCAUUACCAAGCAGCACAUUAGAAGGAUCAAUCAAUCAUUAGUGACUUAUUGCUCCCGGCAGAACUCACAAAAUGUUCCAUUGGAUCAUACGCAGAAUAUCAAUCAUCCUGUGUCUAGUCCUUCGAGCCCCGGGGAACACCCAAGUUAAUGGAAUACCUGCAGCACUAUACAGCUUUCAUCCGGCACAAACUAAUAAGAAUAAGAGUGCAGCAGGCAGUACCUGCUAACCCUAGUAGUGAUUUCAUGUUGGCAAUGGUUUUUUGAGUCCUGCAUCAAGGUCAUCAAUGGGCACAUCACUUCCACUCAGUUAGAGAUGUUAAGAAUGAAUGCAUAUGCCUCUCAAGUAUGGGAAGAUCAGAAGUUAUUUGAAGGACUUGAUGGCCACUUGACUAUGAGCUUUGUAUUCUUCUUUUAGCUCCAGCAGUGAAUGUUGUGCUGAUCUCUGAAAUAUUUAUGUUCAAAUUUAAUGUCCAUAUUCCAAAACUUCUUCCAAAUGCUUCCACCAAAAGUUAUAGAAACACGAGGCUGCUCUUUCACAAAUUAUUAGAAUGAUCCGCACGUGUUUUUUGUGUGUGAAGUUAAGGCAGUGGCUUUAUUGUUAGUGCUGUUGUUGUACCUGAGUUAGUAGAUACGAGAAUUUUGUAGAUAUUGUCAUAACUUUUGUUCGAUCGCC